CCAAAUCCAGCAGGAGAGACCAGUCUCACCUGUACCCAGCUGUCUGUCCAUGCAAACAGACAUGUCUAUUGAUCCUCRGUUCAACUUCAUGACAGAAAAUAUAUCUACUGAUCAAAAGCCUUUCUGCAGAGACCAGUUCUGUCCACGAACAGUGACCAGUCAAUGGGACAUCAAGAACACUUCAGGGAUGGGAACACUGGGCAUGCGAUCCAAGAGGAGAGAGCCAAUUCUCCUGGACCAAGCUUUGAGUCCUUUAAGAGUGACUGGUCAAUGGUUCAUCCUAAAACACAAUUCGGGUAGGAAGGCAUUUCUACUGAUCAAAGAGACCUGCAAGAGAGAUCGGAGUCAGACAUUCCCCGUGGCCGGUCCACGGCAGACAUGUCCUCCAUAUUCAAGGUGAGCUGACUCACGUCUUACAGUUUAAAAGUGAAUGGAUAGUUUUGUGAUAUCUUUGUGACCUUU
ensembl:lncRNA